rnacentral:rRNA from 1 species
UACGUAGGGGGCGAGCGUUGUCCGGAUUUAUUGGGCGUAAAGAGCGUGUAGGCGGCCAGGUAGGUCUGCUGUGAAAACUCGAGGCUCAACCUCGAGACGUCGGCGGAAACCAUCUGGCUAGAGUCCGGAAGAGGAGAGUGGAAUUCCUGGUGUAGCGGUGAAAAUGCGCAGAUAUCAGGAAGAACACCCGUGGCGAAGGCGGCUCUCUGGGACGGUACUGACGCUGAGACGCGAAAGCGUGGGGAGCAAACAGG